CAGGAGCAUAUAUUAACGCUGUUGCGGUUAAAAGGCUCGUAGUCAAGUUUGUGAGGCAACGUGUGCUUCGAUUGAACUAGUUUCAUUCGCUGAGUGUACGUCUCCUCAUCCAUCCUGAGUACCGCUGCUGCCCUUGAUUGGGUUGGUAGUGUUGUAUCAGAUCUUUUACUGUGAGUAAAUCAGAGUGUUCAAGGCAGGCUUCGCUUGAAUGUUUUAGCAUGGAAUAAUAAUAUAUGGCUUGUCCCAGUUAGGCUAGGUUGACAAGUAAUGACUGAAAGAGGUAGUUGGGGGUGCUAGUACUUAGCGGCUAGCGGUGAAAUGCAAAGACCCGCUAAUGACUAUCUACUGCGAAAGCAUUCACCAAGGAUAUUUUCUUUGA
rnacentral:rRNA from 1 species